rnacentral:rRNA from 1 species
UACGGAGGAUGCGAGCGUUAUCCGGAUUUAUUGGGUUUAAAGGGUGCGCAGGCGGCUUCUUAAGUCAGCGGUAAAAGCCCGGGGCUCAACCCCGGCGAGCCGUUGAAACUGGGGAGCUGGAGUUGGAGAGAAGUAUGCGGAAUGCGCGGUGUAGCGGUGAAAUGCAUAGAUAUCGCGCAGAACCCCGAUUGCGAAGGCAGCAUACCGGCUCCAGACUGACGCUGAGGCACGAAGGCGUGGGGAUCGAACAGG